GUUCACCACUGUCCUGUUUCACCUGGAACAAGCUUUGGAGAGGAGCUGCUGCAGAACAGAUAAUGCGCACCUGAGAGGAGAGCAGGCAACAGCAUCAUCCCUUGGGCUUUACAGGAACAGUCCCCUAGUUACUACUAUGGACUUAGUCAUCAGAAACCAAAAACUCAUCAUCAUGAGGGCCACAAGCAAAGCUUCAUGCCACACCUCUGGAAAAAACAAAAUCCUGUCUGGAUAAACCAGAGUAGCUGAACUCAAAAUGUUCUGAUGAAAUAAAGCAGAAAAAGGUUCAAGAAAGUGGAAGGAACUGAUGGAUGGAAACAACACAGAGCAAACUCACUGGACACUUUGCCACCAGACACAAGUGAUACAUCUGGACAGCAAGAGUAUCAAGUGCAAAAGAAAAACAACGGGAGCACUAAAAGCAACAGAAGCAGGAUGCUGCUGGAGAUUUUAAGAUUAGUGAUAAGCAAAUCGUUUUGGUACUGGUAAUUUUAUUCCAUACUUAGAACUGAAGUACUGUUAAACAGAGAGAAGAUCAAGUAUGCCUGUGUGAUGAGUACCUCUGAGGGAGAACAGCAGUGAUCUCACUGUACAUGAGAAAGGUAAGAAUUUCUCAUGUCUCCCCUUAGGUAAGAAAUUACAGACAUCACUGCUAUGCUGAUUCAUUAUUUUAUCACAUGAAGAGCCCAAGCAGUCUUCUGCUGAAACCCAAAACCCUGAGGAAUUAUUCUGCCCUGUCCCAAUGUGACACACUUUCUCACACAAAUCAUACCAAUACACCCUCCUCAUCUCAAAGUACCAGAUAUUAAAAGUUGAUUUCUGAAACAAAUAAAUAUGUAACUAAAAGUUAAAGUGUACAAAUUUUUGAAAGUGGGCAAACUGAAGUGCCCAACUAACGGGCUAUACAGCUAAGAACUUGGUGGGUACCUUGUUUGGUGAAUAUCCAAAUAGGAGAAUAAAAUCCUGGGUAGUCAGAGGGAAGAAACAGGUGGAAGACAAAAAUAAGGCUAAUGCAUUUCAAUGGGAAGAAUGGAAGAUGUAAUACUUAUACUGCUUUUCAUAUAGACAUAAAAUCAUGGUUCACAGAAGGUUACAAUAUGCAUCUUUAUCAGUCAAACAGGAAUUCAAUCUACUUCAGCAGUGCAAAAAGCAAGCAAUUCCAGAAUUGCUCUAAUUAAGGGCAUAAAAGGCAGAACAUUUCAAGCUUUCACAAGAACUUCUGAAACAUCUACACCAACACUAAGUGAUAAUAUUCUGUGAAUGUUGGCAGAAACGUGCCUUUGGAGUCUCCAAAAUCCUACACUCAGAAAGAUCUGAGUCUGGCAGCACGAGUACUUUACUAGAGUAAAUUUGGUACCUCCCUGACAAGAUUCAAGUCUAGUGAGACACAACUGAAAUGCCAAGUCAGCCAUUCUGCUGUUACAUAUGGCUCAGCUGCUAUCAGCUGUAGUCCCUUACACAGAGGAGUUGUCAAAACUCCCUGCUUUUGGAGUUUAGAGACAGUCCUGGAGAUGAAAGACAAAGCUUUUAAUCUUGUUCCUAAAAUUACUUACUUUAGUCUUGGGAAGUCCUGUAGUUUCCUUCUGUCUUACUCAGUAUAAAAAGAAGGAACCACCAGCCAGUUUGCAAAUGAUCUGGUGACAGAUUAGAGCCCUUUUUUGUGUACCUCUGUCCUUGCUAUUGGCCCAGUUUCCAUGCUCCCUGUAACUGCUUCAAAGCUGGUCUAACCCACCAGCUAACUCAAAGUGCUCCAAAUGCAAGAGACCAUGAUGCAGGGGCACCCUGACAGCUCCUCAGCUCCCAUUCUCACUGGCCUGUGCCCCCCAGACCUGGCAUGAGGCUGGCACAAGCACCCACGUACCACCUCUGCCACACAGGAACAGAAACAGGGAAAUGGGUUCAACUGCACCAUUGCUAGAGGCUCUGGCUGUACAGUCCAUAUACAGAAGCUCCACCAAGGAGCAAAUUUCUGCUGUUCCAGCAGCCCAGAGCCCUCCCCUACCUUCACAGCACUGCCUUACUGCCUUCAGGCCCUUCUUCCCUCACCUUGCAGCAAGCACUCCUGAUUGCCAGCACCACCAGCUCAGACUAGGUUACAAGACUAGAGGCACAUGAUUUUAGACACAUAGCACUGUCCUCUGUAUAACCCUCUGUAUAACCCUCCAGGCUGAAAUUUAUUUUGUGAAUCCCAACCAAUGACAGAAAGCACUUCACUUUAGUUAGCAGCAUACGUGAAGGUAUUUCUUCCUCCAAAGUUGCUAAUGAAGCCACAAAUCCUCCUAAUACUGAUACAUAUAUAUGUAAUCCUCUUACUAAAAGUUUAGCCUGAUUAAUCUCAUCCUCUGAAUAACAUGUAAAAAUAACUUCAUUUGGUGUGUGUUUCUGGUACUGUCUGAUCUAUUUUGUUUCAUCAAUUAUUGAUCAAAACUCAACAGCAGAACAAUAAGACAUCUAUGUAAUGACCAUCACUUACCAUUUGUUACCAGUUCUUUCACAUGCUAUAAUAUUAUUUUAAAAACUCAAAACACUAACAGAUAAGAAUCUUUCUUAUGGUAUUAUUGUUCCUGCAUGUGUAUAUACUGUGAAACUGUUGUGGAUUUUUGUCAUUAGCUCUGAUGUCAAGAGUCAGUAUUUCACAGGCAUCAUACUAAUGCAAAACACAUUAGCCCUGACAUGGGCUGCACUCCUGACAAAGCAUUUACUCCACUUCAACCUGCUUGACUGAGUUCUCACCUUUAUUUGUUUCUGUUUCUUUGUCUCCUUAAUGCAUUUUCAGCUACCAUCAUCUCAGUUCAAGUAGGAUGUUUAUUAUUUGGAGCUCUCUGUGUGCUGUUUUAGAGUUAGUCAACUCCUGUUUCUCUUAUAUAGUUCAUUUAAUUAUAGUAUAAAGCAUCUUUUUUUUUUUUGUUGACUCAUCAGUGGCCCAGUAUAUCACCUUUAAGAGAUUGUCUGAAGAAUACAGAAUGUUUUACCUAUGAUAGAAGAGGAUAUGUCACCUCAAUAUGUAUUUUUUGUUGAUGCUGCAAGAUAUUCCAGGACCAGUUCCAGCCAAUCCUGAAGACCUGUGAUUGACAGUAACUACAAUUUUGUGCAGACACUCUUAACACUCCAAAACUUCCUAUAGACAACACCCAGUUUAAGACCAGAUAAUAUUUACAACUUAAUCAAGAAGUAUAAACAAACAAAAGAACGCUCUGUUGUUUCCAAAUGAACAACACACUAUCACUAGGUAAGGCUCAUAAAACAGAGCACUGAGAUAAUGUGUCAAGAUCAUAAUUCCAAGAAAGGAACAGAAAAACCCAAAGCAUGAUAUAUGAUGCCACAGCAUGCUAAAGUUUAAAUAAAAAUGGGAAGAGGUAGGGCAUGGCUAACUUGGUUAAAAAAUUUAAAGCUACUGAUGGCAGUGCAAAUCAUAGAAUCAUAGAAUACUCUGGGUUGCAAGAUCCCUCAAACAUCAUCUAGUUCCAGCUAGGAGAGCAGGAUCUGUAAACCCUGGAGUGAAAGAUAUUUUCUGUACCAAGCACAGCCCCUUGCUGGCUCUGGUUAUCUCACCACAGAAUCCUGCUAAGAAGUAAUUUUCCUUGCUCUUACAACAAAAGUUUUAUAGUCACAUUUUUCACAGUGGAAAGUUGUUUCAGAUCUUUGCUUUUCUGCUUAAGAAGAUGCUUGUAAUUUCUUGUUCUUUUAUUUAUUUACGUAUUUAUUUGAACAAUGCUCAAAGUUGGCUGAAUACUGGAAGCAUGGAAAAGGCAUGUUUCUGCUCUAAAAGCUCUCACUGCUAAACUUCCAGUUCCAACUCCAAAGUACAGCAUUAUCAAUGAAAUGGGCUCCAAAAACAGUUAAGGCUUAAAAAAUAUCGGUCUAUUUAAAUAUUUACACUUACUGUUAAGAUUUCAAAACCAUGAUCAAAAAAGCUUUGAAAAAGAGAGAUAACUACAUUCAAGAAUUUAAGAAACAAAAAAAUUAAAUUGAAAAGGCAAACCCCUAAAAAGUCAAGCUUCAAAAAGCUUGUAUUACCUGGUCUAUAAAGUAGAGGAUCUAAACCCUCAAGGUUUAUGCAGCUUUCAUUGAAAGGAGUGCACUAUAAAAAAUUACACAUAAAUAUAAACCAGAAAGGUGGUUUGACUAGCAAUAUAACUGUAUUGCAAUAUUUCCACCUGAAAUAAGUUUCUUGAGUUUAUUUUACAAAAAAUGCUCAUGAAUAAGACAAUAAGAAAUGCUCGUGAUAAGCCAAAUUUUGCAGGGGGUAGAGAAGCUAAUUAAAUCUUUAAAGGAAAUGUAGCUAAUAAAAGACAGACUCUCAGUCUAGAGCUUAAGCUGCAAAAGCCAAUCUCCUAGGAAUAAAACGAAUAUCACAAACUAAGGAAAACUACGAUUUUAAAAGGUUACUGGAAAUAGUGCUUAUCUAUGGUAUGUUUAUUUACACCUAUACCUGACAAUCCUACAAUCCUAAAGAUGACACCAAAUUAUACUGUGGAUACAUUCAGCAACUUUUAAUGAUGAUAGUUCCCUCAAAAUUACUCAGAAUCAUUAAACCACAAAUGCA